GCCUAUACAGGUGUUGCAUGGCUGUCGUCAGCUCGUGUCGUGAGAUGUUCGGUUAAGUCCGCUAACGAGCGCAACCCUCGUCGUAUGUUAUAUGUGUCAUACGAGACUGCCGGUAAAAAGCCGGAGGAAGGUGAGGAUGAUGUCAAGUCAGCAUGACCUUUAUAUCCAGGGCUACACACACGCUACAAUGGUCUGUACAAUGGGUAGCCAAGCCGCGAGGCGGAGCCAAUCCUGAAAGCAGGCCUCAGUUCAGAUUGCAGUCUGCAACUCGACUGCAUGAAGCCGGAGUUGCUAGUAACCGCAGGUCAGCAAUACUGCGGUGAAUACGUUCCCGGGUCUU
rnacentral:rRNA from 1 species